rnacentral:rRNA from 1 species
AACGAACGCUGGCGGCAUGCCUAACACAUGCAAGUCGAACGAGACCUUCGGGUCUAGUGGCGCACGGGUGCGUAACGCGUGGGAACCUGCCCUUAGGUUCGGAAUAACUCCCCGAAAGGGGUGCUAAUACCGGAUAAUGUUUUCGGACCAAAGAUUUAUCGCCUUGGAUGGGCCCGCGUUGGAUUAGCUAGUUGGUAGGGUAAAAGCCUACCAAGGCGACGAUCCAUAGCUGGUCUGAGAGGAUGAUCAGCCACACUGGGACUGAGACACGGCCCAGACUCCUACGGGAGGCAGCAGUGGGGAAUAUUGGACAAUGGGCGAAAGCCUGAUCCAGCAAUGCCGCGUGAGUGAUGAAGGCCUUAGGGUUGUAAAGCUCUUUUACCCGGGAUGAUAAUGACAGUACCGGGAGAAUAAGCUCCGGCUAACUCCGUG